rnacentral:rRNA from 1 species
GUGGGGAAUAUUGGACAAUGGGCGAAAGCCUGAUCCAGCCAUGCCGCGUGUGUGAAGAAGGUCUUCGGAUUGUAAAGCACUUUAAGUUGGGAGGAAGGGCAGUAAGUUAAUACCUUGCUGUUUUGACGUUACCGACAGAAUAAGCACCGGCUAACUUCGUGCCAGCAGCCGCGGUAAUACGAAGGGUGCAAGCGUUAAUCGGAAUUACUGGGCGUAAAGCGCGCGUAGGUGGUUUUGUAAGUUGGAGGUGAAAUCCACGGGCUCAACAUGGGAACUGCCUCCAAAACUGCAUGACUAGAGUACGGUAGAGGGUAGUGGAAUUUCCUGUGUAGCGGUGAAAUGCGUAGAUAUAGGAAGGAACACCAGUGGCGAAGGCGACUACCUGGACUGAUACUGACACUGAGGUGCGAAAGCGUGGGGAGCAAACAGGAUUAGAAACCCCUGUAGUCC